rnacentral:rRNA from 1 species
ACACGNGAAACAGAUGCUAAUACCGGAUAACAACAGAUGGUGCCUAUCAACUGUUUAAAAGAUGGUUCUGCUAUCACUCUUGGAUGGACCUGCGGUGCAUUAGCUAGUUGGUAGGGUAACGGCCUACCAAGGCGAUGAUGCAUAGCCGAGUUGAGAGACUGAUCGGCCACAUUGGGACUGAGACACGGCCCAAACUCCUACGGGAGGCAGCAGUA